GAGCGAAGUCUUUGAUUCCCCGCUGCCAAGAAAAGCUUCUAGCGAGAUAAAAGGUGCCUGUACCGCAAACCGACACAGGUAGGCGAGGAGAGAAUCCUAAGGUGAGCGAGAGAACUCUGGUUAAGGAACUCGGCAAAAUGACCCCGUAACUUCGGGAGAAGGGGUGCUUUCUUAACGGAAAGCCGCAGUGAAUAGGCCCAAGCGACUGUUUAGCAAAAACACAGGUCUCUGCGAAGCCGUAAGGCGAAGUAUAGGGGCUGACACCUGCCCGGUGCUGGAAGGUUAAGGAGAGGGGUUAGCGCAAGCGAAGCUCUGAACUGAAGCCCCAGUAAACGGCGGCCGUAACUAUAACGGUCCUAAGGUAGCGAAAUUCCUUGUCGGGUAAGUUCCGACCCGCACGAAAGGUGUAACGAUUUGGGCACUGUCUCAACCAGAGACUCGGUGAAAUUAUAGUACCUGUGAAGAUGCAGGUUACCCGCGACAGGACGGAAAGACCCCGUGGAGCUUUACUGUAGCCUGAUAUUGAAUUUUGGUACAGUUUGUACAGGAUAGGCGGGAGCCUUUGAAGCCGGAGCGCUAGCUUCGGUGGAGGCGCUGGUGGGAUACCGCCCUGACUGUAUUGAAAUUCUAACCUACGGGUCUUAUCGACCCGGGAGACAGUGUCAGGUGGGCAGUUUGACUGGGGCGGUCGCCUCCUAAAGUGUAACGGAGGCGCCCAAAGGUUCCCUCAGAAUGGUUGGAAAUCAUUCGUAGAGUGCAAAGGCAUAAGGGAGCUUGACUGCGAGACCUACAAGUCGAGCAGGGACGAAAGUCGGGCUUAGUGAUCCGGUGGUUCCGCAUGGAAGGGCCAUCGCUCAACGGAUAAAAGCUACCCCGGGGAUAACAGGCUUAUCUCCCCCAAGAGUCCACAUCGACGGGGAGGUUUGGCACCUCGAUGUCGGCUCAUCGCAUCCUGGGGCUGUAGUCGGUCCCAAGGGUUGGGCUGUUCGCCCAUUAAAGCGGUACGCGAGCUGGGUUCAGAACGUCGUGAGACAGUUCGGUCCCUAUCCGUCGUGGGCGUAGGAAAUUUGAGAGGAGCUGUCCUUAGUACGAGAGGACCGGGAUGGACGCACCGCUGGUGUACCAGUUGUUCUGCCAAGGGCAUAGCUGGGUAGCUAUGUGCGGAAGGGAUAAGUGCUGAAAGCAUCUAAGCAUGAAGCCCCCCUCAAGAUGAGAUUUCCCAUAGCGUAAGCUAGUAAGAUCCCUGAAAGAUGAUCAGGUUGAUAGGUUCGAGGUGGAAGCAUGGUGACAUGUGGAGCUGACGAAUACUAAUAGAUCGAGGACUUAACC
rnacentral:rRNA from 1 species